GACGAACGCUGGCGGCGUGCUUAACACAUGCAAGUCGAACGAGGUCCACGGAGUGCUUGCACUCCCGAAGACCUAGUGGCGAACGGGUGAGUAACACGUGAGAAACCUGCCCCAGACUCUGGGAUAACCCAAGGAAACUUGAGCUAAUACCGGAUACUCUCUCGCGGUCGCAUGGCUGCUUGAGGAAAGUUUUUCGGUCUGGGAGGGUCUCGCGGCCUAUCAGCUUGUUGGUGAGGUAACGGCUCACCAAGGCAACGACGGGUAGCUGGUUUGAGAGAACGAUCAGCCACACUGGAACUGAGACACGGUCCAGACUCCUACGGGAGGCAGCAGUGGGGAAUCUUGCGCAAUGGGCGAAAGCCUGACGCAGCAACGCCGCGUGCGGGAUGAAGGCCCUCGGGUUGUAAACCGCUUUCAGCAGGGACGAAAAUGACGGUACCUGCAGAAGAAGCCCCGGCUAACUACGUG
rnacentral:rRNA from 1 species